rnacentral:rRNA from 1 species
ACUCCUACGGGAGGCAUCAGUGGGGAAUUUUCCGCAAUGGGCGAAAGCCUGACGGAGCAACGCCGCGUGAGGGAUGAAGGCCUCUGGGCUGUAAACCUCUUUUAUCAAGGAAGAAGAUCUGACGGUACUUGAUGAAUAAGCCACGGCUAAUUCCGUGCCAGCAGCCGCGGUAAUAC